rnacentral:misc_RNA from 1 species
GAUUUGCGUGAGGGAUAGUAGUGAAAAGCCCACAGCAGCGUGUAGCGAUAGCGAAACGAUGCGAGGACUUGUAGCGAAUAGCCCGACCCGAU